CCACAAUGACGCCAACUUCUAAUAAAUGACUAUAAAGCUGUAAACCCUUCCGACUCUGUAGAAAAAGCUUCACGAACUUUCAUUCAAGCAGAAAGAAGAGAAACGAAACAAGAGCUGCUCAGCUGCAUCAACAGCGAUUCGACAUGGAUGCGCACACAAAGAAAACCGAACCAACCAACACUGACAUAGAAGAGGAUGAUAAGAAACCCUGCAUUCUGCAAUUGCCAGACCACAUAACAGUGCAGAUAUUCUGCAAAGUCCCAAUUAAAACCCUCAUCCAAUGCCAGUGUGUGUGCAAGUCUUGGCGGCAUUCGCUCUCAGACCCUCAGUUUACCAAACACCUAUUUUCACAAACACCCCCUUCAUUUUUGUUCCAUGGCUUAAGAGGCGGCCCCAUAAACCCCAAGUCGGAGGGAUACUUAUUGUUCGACCUUGAUAUGGUCUCAAACCCAAAUGACUUUGUACUGAAGCUUGCUAGAGAUCCAAAUUUCCACGCUCUUCGUGUGGGCAUUUUGGGUUCUCGCAAUGGUUUGCUCUGCAUAUAUGAAUUGAACCAACGCCAUUUUUACAUUUCCAAUCCCAUUACUAGUGAGUCUUUAGCGCUUCCAGUGAUAUCCUUGUCUCCCCAUACUGUCGCCUAUUGUCAGCGCCGGAGAAUUGAUAAUCCGUAUUAUUGUGGGUUUGGGUUUAGUCCCAUCAGUAAUGUCUACAAAGUUGUUGUGUUUAUGUCUCCGAGUGAUAAAUCUAGUGAAGAUGAAGUAUUGGUUUUGACUAUUGGCUCCAGGAUUUGGAGAAGCAUUGGGAUGUGUCUGUGUACCCUUCCUCUCGGUUUCAACCAUAUGGGGUUUAUCUUAAUGGAUUCCUGCAUUGGGUUGGUCGGUAUGGGGAUAGUUCGACUUUCAUAUGGGCCUUUGACGUCGAAAGGGAGCAUUUCCAACAGUUACCACUUCCUCCCUGUUAUUUGGACUUAGACCAGCUGCCGAGUUGUUUGGAUUUGCUAGAAACUCAAUUUACCCUUGGAGUCUUGAAUGGUUGCCUCUCUGUAACUGUUCGCUCUUGCUCAACACGUAAUAUCAAUGUCUGGAUGAUGAAGGAUUAUGGCAUUAGCGAGUCGUGGACCAAAGAGCUUGAAAUUAGCAACGAAGCACUUGAUUGUCCAACUUUUGCUCGAGUGUUGAAGUUUACAGGGGAGGGUAAAGUCUUGUUGUUAAAUGGGUCUCACUUGCAGGCUUAUACUCCUGGAACAAGGGGCGUGGUGAUGGUUGAGGUUGAUGGGAUACCAUCAUUGAUCGAUGAGUGUGUUCAUAUUCCAAGCUUUGUUCGGCUUAGAGAUAUCAUGUCAGGCUAGAGCUCAAAGGUGAGAGUCUCGCUGCUGAGUUUAACUUAUGGGAGCUUUAUUUGGGCUGACAAUUGACCUGGAGGUUACGGGUCUGAGUAAGCUCUCACGGUUUAUUUGGCGCUGCAACCUACUGGGACAAUAAUUGGGUUCUCUUGUUUUGGCUUGCUCGGAGUUGCGGUCAAGAUCUUGACAUUGCAAACUUCGACUUGUCUGUAGAGUGAAGAAUUUUGUGGGUAAUAGUUUAAAACACUAUAAUUCAGGGACAGUCGUUACAUAAGGCUCCAUUGUUUUACACGAAAAUUACUACUAAUUAGGUAA